rnacentral:lncRNA from 1 species
UGGGAACAACUCAGUGAGACUAUAAAGGCGAAGAUGGGACAGUUGCAUAAUAAAAGUAGCUGGGGUAAGCUCUGGGAAGAGCUCAUGGUCACAUAGAACCUUGAGAGGCAGUGCUCUUGGUCCCAGAAUGGGCCUUUCGAAGAUCUAAAAAGGAAACAUGAGAUGAAGCAAAACUUGUAUAUAUUGUUUUUUACGCUCGAAAAGUUUUAGCUGAUUGAAGAGGGCGAACUCCGUCUUGCAGGUAUAAGGGGAAAGAAGCUGCUUAUUGUAGCAGCAAGUUAGUGGUUAUAACGCAUUCCCCAGCAAAUUUUGCUAGUGUUAUCUAGAAGUCUAUCCAUUUCAAAAAUUGUAACAUAUGUAGCUUACCAAAACUUGUUUACCUUUCUUGUAUUGUACUGCAAGUUUCUGCCCAAAACUGGUUUGAGCUUUUGGUGUAAAGAAAUUCUAGCCUGUGUAUGCUUUAGCAUUGUUUCCUAACAUUAAGUCAACUCACUGAAAAGGGGAUGUGAUGGCCAAGAGUUGGGCAGCAAACUAAUCAAGUAAGAAUUACCUUUCUUGUAUUGUACUGCAAGUUUCUGCCCAAAACUGGUUUGAGCUUUUGGUGUAAAGAAAUUCUAGCCUGUGUAUGCUUUAGCAUUGUUUCCUAACAUUAAGUCAACUCACUGAAAAG